GGGGAUCUGUGGUUCAGUGGUAGAGCAUCUGCUUGAAAUGCAGAAGGCCCCAGGUUCAAUUCCCGGGAUCUCCA